rnacentral:lncRNA from 7 species
AGGUACGUGUGCUGUAGGUGCACUGGGAUGAGAUGCUUGUUCCUGCUCUAACCGGAAAAGCUUUAUUCAUACGUUCAUUCAUCUAUUGUAUGGAAAACUAGUCUGUCCUAGUAAGAACCUCACUAGCUGUGAGAUGGACUUGAAGUGCUUGCUCUGCAGCAGGUGAGAGUACAAAAGGAGUGAGGAGAACGUCCUUCUGUGAAGCUUUUCGACACCUCUUUGGAUGAGAAGGAGCAAAGUGGUGGUGCUGCUGCAUCUGGAGCAAUUGGUUUGCUAAAGCUUGUUUUCUGGAGAACGUUCACUUCACCGUCCUGAGCAUGAGUGGCUUCUACUGGCAGUGCUGCUGAAGAGCUGCGCAUCAGUAAUUCUUUGACAUGCAGAAUUACAGCUUUCCAGCGCCAGCUCAAACACCGAGGAAUCCCUGCCACCAUAAAGCUAUAAUUGCUGAAUUAAUAACAGCGGGUUCUGGAGAGUGACUGCACAGACUCUCUGACCCAGGUUCAUAAAUAGUAACAUCCCUUUGUCCUGGGAAAAGUUCUUAUCUUUUGUUUCUCUUUGUCAUUCCCCUCAAUCUCUGUCCUCUUGAGGCUGAAGGUAAUGGGCCCUUCCAUUUUGUGCACGCUGACUGAGUGAAGGCUGGGCCGUUGCCCCUUUGCUUUGAAGUCCACUGCAUUUGUGAUUUUUCUUUGAUCAUCGCUGUGGAAAAGCCUGAUAUGUUUUUCUCAGCAGUUCGUAUGCACACAAGCAUGAGAGCUGAGAACCUCAGUCAAGGUUUGUCUGAUGUCCCGAGCGCUGCCCGGGUGUUCCAGCGGCACCAACAGAGGCUGACUGAUGGGCUCCAGUUCAGACAUACGAAGGGUGGCAAGCAGAGGCAGCGUUCUGAGGUCCAUUUAAUUAAUCUGGUAAUACAUAAACAAGUCAAGCUCACAUCAGAUUAUGUACCGGAGUGAAUUCUGAUUGGGCAGGGAUUCAGGCUUCUCUGCACCCUGCCCACACCAGUUACUGGGGAUGUUACAGCCAAAAAACAUCCUGAGCAAGAGAGGAAGUGAUAACAGUGUAAGAUGGAGAAACUUUGCCCCCGAUGCACCCCCAAGGGUGUUCCCAGGCUUCCUGGAAGUGGGGCAGAAGCCAAGAAGGCCAGUGUGCACAUUCCAAAGAACUGACUAGUGCACUCUGAAUUCAAGUAUUUCACUAUUUAAGCUCAGAUUUCAUCUCACCACUGUGAAAAGCCUGUUUCCCUACCUGUUACACUCAGAAGCACUUGUGCAGAUGAAAACUGAGCCUUUCCAUCCUGCAACCUCCCACAGACAUAUGCACACACAUUAUGUCCCCUGUUUAAUUGCCUUCCAAAACUGUCUUAUCUUGGCACAAACUUGUCGCUGGUUUAUCUCUGCUCAGGAUAAAUGCAUACCUAAUCUUAUUACUGGAUGCACGCAGAGCAGGCAAUCUCAUUAAUAGCCACCCUUAAGGGAUUUCUAUCCAGGGAUCAAUUUCAUAAUUGGAACACAGCUACAUAAUAUAUAAAUAUACCCUUCUGAUGGCACAGCCAUUUGCCUGCUGGUCUCUUGCUGUUCUGUCUUGCACAUCUCAUGAAGAAUU